rnacentral:rRNA from 1 species
AUUGAACGCUGGCGGCAUGCCUUACACAUGCAAGUCGAACGGUAACAGGUUAAGCUGACGAGUGGCGAACGGGUGAGUAAUACAUCGGAACGUGCCCAGUAGUGGGGGAUAGCCCGGCGAAAGCCGGAUUAAUACCGCAUACGACCUAAGGGUGAAAGGGGGGGAUCGCAAGACCUCUCGCUAUUGGAGCGGCCGAUGUCAGAUUAGCUAGUUGGUGGGGUAAAAGCUCACCAAGGCGACGAUCUGUAGCUGGUCUGAGAGGACGACCAGCCACACUGGGACUGAGACACGGCCCAGACUCCUACGGGGGGCAGCAGUAGGGAAUUUUGGACAAUGGGCGCAAGCCUGAUCCAGCCAUGCCGCGUGCGGGAAGAAGGCCUUCGGGUUGUAAACCGCUUUUGUCAGGGAAGAAAUCCUUUGGGUUAAUACCUCGGGGGGAUGACGGUACCUGAAGAAUAAGCACCGGCUAACUACGUG